GUUUCCACUGCACCCCUUUUCGAUAAUGCCUUUGAUUUUUAUAAGAUCCAUCCUACUUAAAUAACUUCGAAUGUAAUUAGGAUGAUUAUAGUAUUCAUAAUCAUAUGCAACUUUUUUCAUAUAGAUCUUAAGAUUUUCCUAUUAGAUCCUUGGUCCUUUUGAAGAGGCAUCCGAAUGAGAAGAGUUGGUGAUACUUUUCUCCUCAAAAAAGCUAUAA
rnacentral:lncRNA from 1 species